UUAAGCGACUAAGCGUACACGGUGGAUGCCCUGGCAGUCAGAGGCGAUGAAGGACGUGCUAAUCUGCGAAAAGCGCCGGCGAGGUGAUAUGAACCUUUGACCCGGCGAUGUCCGAAUGGGGAAACCCAGUGCAAUUCGUUGCACUAUCGUUAACUGAAUACAUAGGUUAACGAGGCGAACCGGGGGAACUGAAACAUCUAAGUACCCCGAGGAAAAGAAAUCAACCGAGAUUCCCCCAGUAGCGGCGAGCGAACGGGGAGCAGCCCAGAGUCUGAAUCAGCUUGUGUGUUAGUGGAAGCGUCUGGAAAGUCGCACGGUACAGGGUGACAGUCCCGUACACGAAAGCACACAGGCUGUGAACUCGAAGAGUAGGGCGGGACACGUGGUAUCCUGUCUGAAUAUGGGGGGACCAUCCUCCAAGGCUAAAUACUCCUGACUGACCGAUAGUGAACCAGUACCGUGAGGGAAAGGCGAAAAGAACCCCGGCGAGGGGAGUGAAAAAGAACCUGAAACCGUGUACGUACAAGCAGUGGGAGCACCUUCGUGGUGUGACUGCGUACCUUUUGUAUAAUGGGUCAGCGACUUAUAUUCUGUAGCAAGGUUAACCGUAUAGGGGAGCCGAAGGGAAACCGAGUCUUAACUGGGCGUUAAGUUGCAGGGUAUAGACCCGAAACCCGGUGAUCUAGCCAUGGGCAGGUUGAAGGUUGGGUAACACUAACUGGAGGACCGAACCGACUAAUGUUGAAAAAUUAGCGGAUGACUUGUGGCUGGGGGUGAAAGGCCAAUCAAACCGGGAGAUAGCUGGUUCUCCCCGAAAGCUAUUUAGGUAGCGCCUCGUGAAUUCAUCUUCGGGGGUAGAGCACUGUUUCGGCUAGGGGGCCAUCCCGGCUUACCAACCCGAUGCAAACUACGAAUACCGAAGAAUGUUAUCACGGGAGACACACGGCGGGUGCUAACGUCCGUCGUGAAGAGGGAAACAACCCAGACCGCCAGCUAAGGUCCCAAAGUCAUGGUUAAGUGGGAAACGAUGUGGGAAGGCACAGACAGCCAGGAUGUUGGCUUAGAAGCAGCCAUCAUUUAAAGAAAGCGUAAUAGCUCACUGGUCGAGUCGGCCUGCGCGGAAGAUGUAACGGGGCUAAACCAUGCACCGAAGCUGCGGCAGCGACGCUUAUGCGUUGUUGGGUAGGGGAGCGUUCUGUAAGCCGUUGAAGGUGGCCUGUGAGGGUUGCUGGAGGUAUCAGAAGUGCGAAUGCUGACAUAAGUAACGAUAAAGCGGGUGAAAAGCCCGCUCGCCGGAAGACCAAGGGUUCCUGUCCAACGUUAAUCGGGGCAGGGUGAGUCGACCCCUAAGGCGAGGCCGAAAGGCGUAGUCGAUGGGAAACAGGUUAAUAUUCCUGUACUUGGUGUUACUGCGAAGGGGGGACGGAGAAGGCUAUGUUAGCCGGGCGACGGUUGUCCCGGUUUAAGCAUGUAGGCGGAGGUUCCAGGUAAAUCCGGUACCUUUUAACGCUGAGGUGUGAUGACGAGGCACUACGGUGCUGAAGUAACAAAUGCCCUGCUUCCAGGAAAAGCCUCUAAGCAUCAGGUAACAUCAAAUCGUACCCCAAACCGACACAGGUGGUCAGGUAGAGAAUACCAAGGCGCUUGAGAGAACUCGGGUGAAGGAACUAGGCAAAAUGGUGCCGUAACUUCGGGAGAAGGCACGCUGAUAUGUAGGUGAAGCCCCUGCGGGUGGAGCUGAAAUCAGUCGAAGAUACCAGCUGGCUGCAACUGUUUAUUAAAAACACAGCACUGUGCAAACACGAAAGUGGACGUAUACGGUGUGACGCCUGCCCGGUGCCGGAAGGUUAAUUGAUGGGGUUAGCGGCAACGCGAAGCUCUUGAUCGAAGCCCCGGUAAACGGCGGCCGUAACUAUAACGGUCCUAAGGUAGCGAAAUUCCUUGUCGGGUAAGUUCCGACCUGCACGAAUGGCGUAAUGAUGGCCAGGCUGUCUCCACCCGAGACUCAGUGAAAUUGAACUCGCUGUGAAGAUGCAGUGUACCCGCGGCAAGACGGAAAGACCCCGUGAACCUUUACUAUAGCUUGACACUGAACACUGGUCCUUGAUGUGUAGGAUAGGUGGGAGGCUUUGAAGCGUGGACGCCAGUCUGCGUGGAGCCGUCCUUGAAAUACCACCCUUUAAUGGCUGGUGUUCUAACGUAGACCCGUGAUCCGGGUUGCGGACAGUGUCUGGUGGGUAGUUUGACUGGGGCGGUCUCCUCCCAAAGAGUAACGGAGGAGCACGAAGGUUAGCUAAUCCUGGUCGGACAUCAGGAGGUUAGUGCAAUGGCAUAAGCUAGCUUGACUGCGAGAGUGACGGCUCGAGCAGGUGCGAAAGCAGGUCAUAGUGAUCCGGUGGUUCUGAAUGGAAGGGCCAUCGCUCAACGGAUAAAAGGUACUCCGGGGAUAACAGGCUGAUACCGCCCAAGAGUUCAUAUCGACGGCGGUGUUUGGCACCUCGAUGUCGGCUCAUCACAUCCUGGGGCUGAAGUAGGUCCCAAGGGUAUGGCUGUUCGCCAUUUAAAGUGGUACGCGAGCUGGGUUUAGAACGUCGUGAGACAGUUCGGUCCCUAUCUGCCGUGGGCGCUGGAGAAUUGAGGGGGGCUGCUCCUAGUACGAGAGGACCGGAGUGGACGCAUCACUGGUGUUCGGGUUGUCAUGCCAAUGGCACUGCCCGGUAGCUAAAUGCGGAAAAGAUAAGUGCUGAAAGCAUCUAAGCACGAAACUUGCCCCGAGAUGAGUUCUCCCUGACCCUUUAAGGGUCCUGAAGGAACGUUGAAGACGACGACGUUGAUAGGUCGGGUGUGUAAGCGCAGCGAUGCGUUGAGCUAACCGAUACUAAUGAACCGUGAGGCUUAACCU
rnacentral:rRNA from 1 species